rnacentral:rRNA from 1 species
GAUGAACGCUAGCGGUGCGCCUAACACAUGCAAGUCGAGCGAGAAGAUUGAUAGCUUGCUAUCAAUUGGAGAGCGGCGAACGGGUGAGUAACAUGUUGGGAUCUGCCCCCAAGUCAGGGAUAGCCAGAAGAAAUUCUGAUUAAUACCGGAUGCCCUCUACGGAGGAAAGAUUUAUUGCUUGGGGAGGACCCUACACGGUAUCAGUUAGUUGGUGAGGUAAAGGCUCACCAAGACAAUGACGCCUAGCUGGUCUGAGAGGAUGAUCAGCCACAAUGGAACUGAGACACGGUCCAUACUCCUACGGGAGGCAGCAGUGAGGAAUCUUCCACAAUGGGCGAAAGCCUGAUGGAGCGACACCGCGUGAAGGAUGAAGGCCUAACGGUUGUAAACUUCUUUUCUGAAGGAGCAAAAUGAGAGUACUUCAGGAAUAAGGGACGGCUAAUUACG